GAUGAACGCUGGCGGCGUGCUUAACACAUGCAAGUCGAACGAAGCACUCUAUUUGAUUUUCUUCGGAAAUGAAGAUUUUGUGACUGAGUGGCGGACGGGUGAGUAACGCGUGGGUAACCUGCCUCAUACAGGGGGAUAACAGUUGGAAACGACUGCUAAUACCGCAUAAGCGCACAGGAUUGCAUGAUCCGGUGUGAAAAACUCCGGUGGUAUGAGAUGGACCCGCGUCUGAUUAGCCAGUUGGCAGGGUAACGGCCUACCAAAGCGACGAUCAGUAGCCGACCUGAGAGGGUGACCGGCCACAUUGGGACUGAGACACGGCCCAAACUCCUACGGGAGGCAGCAGUGGGGAAUAUUGCACAAUGGGGGAAACCCUGAUGCAGCGACGCCGCGUGAGCGAAGAAGUAUUUCGGUAUGUAAAGCUCUAUCAGCAGGGAAGAAGAAUGACGGUACCUGACUAAGAAGCACCGGCU
rnacentral:rRNA from 1 species